rnacentral:ncRNA from 1 species
UUUCCCUCAGGGUAGCUGGCACACGGCAACAGACAGUUUUACCCGGUAAAGUGAAUGAUUAGAGGUCUUGAGGUCGAAACCAUCUCAACCUGUUCUCAAGACUUCCAGUGCGUAAGGGGAGGUGAGAUUUUCAGUUCUCUGUGCAGUACCCAGGAGUCA